AUUUAUUAUCACACUAGCAUUUAAUUAUCACUGCAAACAAUUACGCUUCACUGAACUGUAAGUAAAGUACAAGAAAGUUAAAAUAACAAAACCUGUAAUUAUUACUUGUGAACGAAUAUCAUUCACAGUUAUAUUCCACAAUACUAUGCAAGAGCAUUUCAGUUGUGUAUAUGAGCACAUUUCACUAUUGUGUAUGAGAGCUUUUUACUAGUGUGUGUGAGAGCUUUUCAGUAGUGUGUGCGAGAGCAUUUCAGUAGUGUGUGCGAGAGCAUUUCAGUAGUGUGUGUGAGAGCAUUUCAGUUGUGUAUAUGAGCACAUUUCACUAUUGUGUAUGAGAGCUUUUCACUAGUGUGUGUGAGAGCAUUUCAGUAGUGUGUGAGAGAGCAUUUCAGUAGUGUGUGUGAGAGCAUUUCAGUAGUGUGUGCGAGAGCAUUUCAGUAGUGUGUGUGAGAGCAUUUCAGUUGUGUAUAUGAGCACAUUUCACUAUUGUGUAUGAGAGCUUUUCACUAGUGUGUGUGAGAGCAUUUCAGUAGUGUGUGAGAGAGCAUUUCAGUAGUGUGUGCGAGAGCAUUUCAGUAGUGUGUGUGAGAGCAUUUCAGUAGUGUGUGCGAGAGCAUUUCAGUAGUGUGUGUGAGAGCAUUUCAGUAGUGUGUGUGAGAGCAUUUCAGUAGUGUGUGUGAGAGAGUAUAGUUUUUCAGUAGUGUGUGUGAGAGCAUUUCAGUAGUGUGUGUGAGAGCGUAUAGUUUUUCAGUAGUGUGUGUGAGAGCAUUUCAGUAGUGUGUGUGAGAGAGUAUAGUUUUUCAGUAGUGUGUGUGGGAGCAUUUCAGUUGUGUGUGUGAGCGUAUUGUUUUUCAGUACUGUGUGUGAGAGCAUUUCAUAUGUGUUUGUGAGAGCUUUUCAGUAGUGUGUGUGAGAGGAUAUUCUGAAUAAUGUCCCUCACGGCCCCUCAUAUUUGAAAGUGAUUGAAAAUGGCAAACACAAGGAUGUGCACAUCAGAGAGGGAGAGAUGUUCCUGCUGCCGGCUCGGAUACCCCACUCCCCACAGAGACAGGCCAACACUGUGGGGCUGGUGGUGGAGAGGAGACGUCUGCUGACUGAGACUGACUGCUUGAGGUACCAUGUGGAAAACACCACUGACAUCCUGUUUGAGAAAUGGUUUUAUUGUCAGAAACUUGGAACCUGUCAUGGGAAUUUCUCAAUAGUCAAGCACAAGUCAUUACAAUGUCUUUCUGGAAGUUUAUUCUACAUCUGCAGAUGGGCAUCAAUGUACAAGACCAUGGAAUGGAUUUCAUACAAUGAGCAAUGACAUACAGGAAAAGCAGCACUUUAUACAUCUCCAAGCCCCUCCUAGAGAGGAGACAAAUGUUAUCGAUCAACCUCUUUCAUGUUAAGCAAUAGGUGACCCAUAUCCUGUCACCUAUCUUUCCCAGACCUUUGGAAUGUAGCAUCUACUGUUCAAGAUCCCUUGAGUAGUUUACAAACACAAAUCCUCUGUUCUGUUAAGUGAUUUGUUUGGUGACCUCGUCAGUGAGGAUGCCACAUAACAGUCAUGAGUGCAACCCUGACUUCUCAGGCAACAUUU